rnacentral:rRNA from 1 species
UAGGGAAUCUUCCACAAUGGACGCAAGUCUGAUGGAGCAACGCCGCGUGAGUGAAGAAGGUUUUCGGAUCGUAAAGCUCUGUUGUUGGUGAAGAAGGAUAGAGGCAGUAACUGGUCUUUAUUUGACGGUAAUCAACCAGAAAGUCACGGCUAACUACGUGCCAGCAGCCGCGGUAAUACGUAGGUGGCAAGCGUUGUCCGGAUUUAUUGGGCGUAAAGCGAGCGCAGGCGGAAUGAUAAGUCUGAUGUGAAAGCCCACGGCUCAACCGUGGAACUGCAUCGGAAACUGUCAGUCUUGAGUGCAGAAGAGGAGAGUGGAAUUCCAUGUGUAGGUGUGGAAUGCGUAGAUAUAUGGAAGAACACCAGUGGCGAAGGCGGCUCUCUGGUCUGCAACUGACGCUGAGGCUCGAAAGCAUGGGUAGCGAACAGG